rnacentral:lncRNA from 10 species
CCCACACUGGCUCAUGGUCAUGGGGGUCUUCCCUCCUCAACCAGCACGCAUGCGCCUUCCUCAUCAUAGCCACAGUUGGAGGGCAGGUCACUGCCCAAGGGCCCUCAGUGUGCUCCUGAGCCCGGGCCCGCUUCCCAAACCGCUUGGCCAGACAGCUUGGAGGGAGGGGAACCCAAGCUCCAGGUGGCGCUGAGGUGCCUCAGCUCUGAGCCCCUGAGCGGCUGUGGAGGGAGGGCUGGCCUCUGUUGUGUCCCCUGCUUAUUGUAAAAUGGGAGGUUCAUAAACCACAACUCACAGAGCAGUGGAAAGGAUCAAAGAGCUAAUGCGUGUCCGGCACCUCGCGUAGUGUGAGCGCUCCACAAGUGUGAGCAAGGGACGUCUGGGUUGUUUUCUUUUUUCCACCUCUCAGUUUAAAUAAGGUUGCUGUGAACGCUUUUCCUGCUGAGGGUUAUUUCCUCAGAUGCAGAACCCCGCCUCAAGAUAAUAUUCGAGGUCGGGGGGUCAGGCAGCUGCGUGGGGCUUUUUCCAUGCAGACAGAAGCAUCUUCAAAAUCGGAAUCUGUUUACAGCAAAGGGAUGUGUUAUUUUCCCCGCAUCCUUUGCAGCACUGGGCUUGUUUUAUCGAUUUUUUUUUCUCAUUCGAUCAGCAAGGCUGUGCAUUCCUCCGUGUACUGUUUAACUGUCUGUAUUUCCUGAGGGAUUCAUGGUUUGUUCACUGCCUUUGAUUGUUUUUCAGGUGGUGUCUGGGACAGUGCCUGGUGCUGUCAGCUGGAGCUGGCAGGCCCACAUUGGAAGCAUCUUCUAAGUAGGAAGGGGAGACAAGGGCUUGAAGCUGGGGGAGAUGGGGAAAGCCUCCCGCCCCAUCCACGCCAUUCCUGCCUUCCCCUCGUCCUGGGUAUUUUGGAGCCUGCCAGCUGAGGAGUGCUCUCCCAGGGUUGGGACUGCAGGCGCCUGACAAACUGAAGAGCACUGAAGCUGGAGAUGCAAAGAAGAGGGAGCAUUGACUAUGUUCUUGGAGCAACGAGCAAGUCAGUGAGGCACGCGUGUGACAGGUGCCUUUCCUGAACCCAGCAAUCCUCCUCCCCUUUCCCUGGCUCUCCUGGGAACUCCUAAUGAAGUCAGAAUAAGCCACUCCAUCAAUUUAUGAUCCCCAGAUGACUGUGUCCCUUUGCUCCUUAAUCACUCAGGUACCCAGAUUCUCUAUUAGCAAGAAGCCCAGAACCCCCUUCUCGAGUCCUCUCUCGUUUUCAAUCUUCCAAGGACACCGAAGUCUUCCUUAACCCACUGCUGGGGGUUGACUGCCGAAGGUCACUGAUGCCGGGGCAUCUUGCCACCACAUGGGGGCACUGCCAAAGAUGUGUGCAGAAUAGUCCUGCAGACACUGCGCUCGGCAGCGGAG